UACGGAGGGUGCAAGCGUUAUCCGGAUUCACUGGGUUUAAAGGGUGCGUAGGCGGAUAGGUAAGUCCGUGGUGAAAUCUCCGAGCUUAACUUGGAAACUGCCAUGGAUACUAUAGAUCUUGAAUACUGUGGAGGUUAGCGGAAUAUGUCAUGUAGCGGUGAAAUGCUUAGAUAUGACAUAGAACACCAAUUGCGAAGGCAGCUGGCUACACAAAUAUUGACACUGAUGCACGAAAGCGUGGGGAUCAAACAGG
rnacentral:rRNA from 1 species